GCAACAUGGCGGGCAUCUCACACACAGUGAAAAUGGAGACUAUCAGCAGACCGGGCGUAUACUUGACUUUAGCCGACACUAAGCUGGCCAUUAUGAGUGUUUAACCAGCAGCAGCGUCGCCACCAAGUUUAUAUCUUUGGGUUGCAGUUAAAAUGAGGAAAACUAGAGUUCGCUUUAUAUGCGGUGAAGAAAAGGUUAUAAACAUCAUGAUAAAUAUUUUAAUUUAUAAAAUACAGACUAUAUAGGAAUGACAACAAAGAUAAAAUUAUUUUAGAAUUGAUAAUUUUAUAUGGUAUUUUAGGUAUACUCAAACCCUAUUGGAUUCCAAGUGAAAAAUUUGUAUUAAUCCUCUCUAUCCAAAUGUUGCCCUGACAAUAAAUUUGUGAUCAAGUUUUCCGCACAUUUGGCCCCUCAA